rnacentral:lncRNA from 1 species
CUUUUAUAGGUAAUAUCUCUCUAUUUAUAAAAGAUAGAGACUGUGUGCAUAAAUCCUUCAUGAUGAAAGUUUCAUGCUUUGAACACUGUUUAAUAUGCAACAUUAGACAACCUUUGCAUGAUUUAUGCCAUCUGCUGCAUUUUUGUCAAAGUAUUCAACAAUCCAACAUGACUUUGAUCUCAAGCUGGACUUUUAUGUUUCAACUUGGAAUGUUCAGAGCCUGCCAACAUUUGAUGGGUUUUCUCUGUGCACAACAUAAUGCAUUUUAGCUAUUCAUUGUUCAAUUUAAAGCUUGGGAUCAAUUUUAAAUUCCAAAUUCACUUGAAAUUAAAAUGACUUUUGGGUUGGGAAAAGGUUUGGUCAAAUUAAAGGUAGAACUCAUCAGGGCAUUUGAAUUAGAAGAAGAU